UACGAAGGGGGCUAGCGUUGUUCGGAAUUACUGGGCGUAAAGGGCGCGUAGGCGGUUCUCUAAGUCAGGGGUGAAAUCCUGGAGCUCAACUCCAGAACUGCCUUUGAUACUGAAGAUCUUGAGUCCGGGAGAGGUGAGUGGAACUGCGUGUGUAGAGGUGAAAUUCGUAGAUAUUCGCAAGAACACCAGUGGCGAAGGCGGCUCGCUGGCCCGAUACUGACGCUGAGGCACGAAAGCGUGGGGAGCAAACCGG
rnacentral:rRNA from 1 species